rnacentral:rRNA from 1 species
AUGCACGCUGGCGGCGUGCCUCAUCCAUGCAAGUCGCGCGAACAGACGAGGAGCUUGCUCCUCUGACGUUAGCGGCGGACGGGUGAGUAACACGUGGAUAACCUACCUAUAAGACUGGGAUAACUUCGGGAAACCGGAGCUAAUACCGGAUAAUAUAUUGAACCGCAUGGUUCAAUAGUGAAAGACGGUUUUGCUGUCACUUAUAGAUGGAUCCGCGCCGCAUUAGCUAGUUGGUAAGGUAACGGCUUACCAAGGCAACGAUGCGUAGCCGACCUGAGAGGGUGAUCGGCCACACUGGAACUGAGACACGGUCCAGACUCCUACGGAAGGCAGCAGUAGGGAAUCUUCCGCAAUGGGCGAAAGCCUGACGGAGCAACGCCGCGUGAGUGAUGAAGGUCUUCGGAUCGUAAAACUCUGUUAUUAGGGAAGAACAAAUGUGUAAGUAACUAUGCACGUCUUGACGGUACCUAAUCAGAAAGCCACGGCUAACUACGUG